GCUACGGUGGCCUAGUGGUUAGAGCAUCAGCCUCGGAUGUAGGGGGUCGUGGGUUGGACCCCCGGUCGAGUAAUA